UCUCAGAGCUUCCUGCAGGACUCAGCAUCUGGUUUUUGCAGUGCCAGGUGUGGAUUGAGAUUCAGCCUUGUAAGACUUACUCACUGAAAACUGGAAUUUGCUUGGUUCCAAGAACAAAGUGUGCUUUGUACACGUGCUGGUGCCAUUUGUGGCUGAGAAGAACUUUCUCGGAUUGCUUUGGAAUGAUGAAGAGUAUGUCUCUCAUCCAAGAACUGAAAUGAUACCUUCAGAAGUUCUUUCAGCAACCUGGGUUUUUCAGAAUACUGGAGAGUUAAAGGAUAUGAAUAUUUCACCUGGGCCAGCCACUCUUUUACAACUAGGCCAGUCUCAUCAAGUUCCCACCAGGAAAGGGAUCAGAAUUUCCACUCCAUAGCAAAAGGAAGUGGAACUGGAAACAGUGUGAAGAUUUUCUUCAAGAAAAGGAUAAACUUUUCCACUGAAGCACAUCCUGGUACUGCCGACCUAUCUGAGGAAAAGCCCCAGAUCCUUCUGGCCUCCACCGAGCAAUCCUUCUCUAGAGAAGCCAGGAUUCAGCGGAAAUUCAGCAACGGGAUGGAAUUGCCGGGGGAAAUCAUCAUUUUUAACAAGCACCUCAGGAAAUGCUGACUCAUGCUGACAUUUAACGACCACACAAAUAGACAAACAAAGCAGACCUGCAGACCAGCAGACCAACAGACCAGCGACAGCAGAACGAUGCGAGACAGAAAGAGAGGAAUGACGUGGCAGAGAGAGAAGAGGGACCUCUGGAUGCUGAGGGGAG